UACACUCCUGCGGGAGGCAGCAGUGGGGAAUAUUGCACAAUGGGCGCAAGCCUGAUGCAGCCAUGCCGCGUGUAUGAAGAAGGCCUUCGGGUUGUAAAGUACUUUCAGCGGGGAGGAAGGCGAUAAGGUUAAUAACCUUGUUGAUUGACGUUACCCGCAGAAGAAGCACCGGCUAACUCCGUGCCAGCAGCCGCGGUAAUACGGAGGGUGCAAGCGUUAAUCGGAAUUACUGGGCGUAAAGCGCACGCAGGCGGUCUGUCAAGUCGGAUGUGAAAUCCCCGGGCUCAACCUGGGAACUGCAUUCGAAACUGGCAGGCUAGAGUCUUGUAGAGGGGGGUAGAAUUCCAGGUGUAGCGGUGAAAUGCGUAGAGAUCUGGAGGAAUACCGGUGGCGAAGGCGGCCCCCUGGACAAAGACUGACGCUCAGGUGCGAAAGCGUGGGGAGCAAACAGGAUUAGAUACCCGUGUAGUCCCA
rnacentral:rRNA from 1 species